CAGCCGCGGUAAUUCCAGCUCCAAUAGCGUAUAUUAAAGUUGUUGCAGUUAAAAAGCUCGUAGUUGAAUUUCGGGGUUAGUAGGUUGGUCAUGCCUCUGGUAUGUACUGGUCUCACUGAUUCCUCCUUCCUGAUGAACCGUAAUGCCAUUAAUUUGGUGUUGCGGGGAAUUUGGACUGUUACUUUGAAAAAAUUAGAGUGUUUAAAGCAGGCAUACGCUUGAAUA
rnacentral:rRNA from 1 species